CAAGAUAUACAACCGCAUCAUGUUCGCCCGAUUGCGCCGCUUCAAGAAAGCCGAGGACUUUGGGUGGAUCCCGCCUUACCCAUCCAGCAUGAUGCACUACAGCCUACUGGGAAACUAUAUGCUGCUCCCAAUCGACUACAUUCAGUACCCGUUUUUUCUACUGGACAUGACACCGUAAGUUGGUCAUACGCUUAAUUUUUUUUCAAGUUUU